GCACCCCUACGGGGGGCAGCAGUAGGGAAUCUUCCACAAUGGACGAAAGUCUGAUGGAGCAACGCCGCGUGAGUGAAGAAGGGUUUCGGCUCGUAAAGCUCUGUUGGUAGUGAAGAAAGAUAGAGGUAGUAACUGGCCUUUAUUUGACGGUAAUUACUUAGAAAGUCACGGCUAACUACGUGCCAGCAGCCGCGGUAAUACGUAGGUGGCAAGCGUUGUCCGGAUUUAUUGGGCGUAAAGCGAGUGCAGGCGGUUCAAUUAGGCUGAUGUGAAAGCCUUCGG
rnacentral:rRNA from 1 species